GUUGUGAAGUUGCGUAGAAUUAUGGGAGUUGUAGUUUGCAUUGUUUAAAACAAUUGCCGAUUAAAAUAUAUCUGUUCAUGGAUGGGUUUAUCCAUUAGUUUUAGCCACGUUAAAUUUAGUUUUAGUUUAUUUACGUCAAUCUGAUAAAAUAGCUGCAG